rnacentral:rRNA from 1 species
UACGUAGGUGGCAAGCGUUGUCCGGAAUUAUUGGGCGUAAAGCGCGCGCAGGCGGUCCUUUAAGUCUGAUGUGAAAGCCCACGGCUCAACCGUGGAGGGUCAUUGGAAACUGGUGGACUUGAGUGCAGAAGAGGAGAGCGGAAUUCCGCGUGUAGCGGUGAAAUGCGUAGAGAUGUGGAGGAACACCAGUGGCGAAGGCGGCUCUCUGGUCUGUAACUGACGCUGAGGCGCGAAAGCGUGGGGAGCGAACAGG